rnacentral:tRNA from 1 species
GCAGUGGUGGUUCGAUGGUAGAAUUCUCACCUCCCAUGCAGGAGAUCCAGGUUCGAUUUCCGGCCAAUGCA